AUUUUUGUGUAUAAUAAUAUAAUAUCCCAAAUAAUAUCUGAAAUACUAUUAAUUCGUUUUUAGAUUCUGAGUGGAAUGAAGAAGUUUAUAGUUUUACAAAGAUGUUUUUUCUUUUCUGUGGAUAACUUUUCUACCAGAGGACUUGCUCCAAAUUUUUACGUGUAGCAACUUUUUUGGAAGGAAAUCUGUGUGAGGAGGUACCUUAGUGAUGUCAUUUUUCAAUUUUCUCAGCAAAUGUGAUAAACUGGGAAAAACAUAGGAAAACCGGGGAAAUCGGUACAACAUUAAACAAAUAUUAUUAAAGAAAAUAUAUAGGGUUUUCUUAAUUAUUUUACUAUAAUAUAAUAUGAUAUAAAUAUUGUUGAAAAAGCAUCACUAUCAACUUAACUCUGCUCAGAAUCGUUUUUUCGUAAACAAUGGUAUAUUGUUCCUUACAUGUAUACAUUAAAUUAUGUAUAACAGUGGC